rnacentral:rRNA from 1 species
GCACGGAGUUAGCCUAUGCUUAUUCCUCAGAUACCGUCAUUGUGUUCUUCUCUGAGAAAAGGAGUUUACGACCCACGGGCCUUCCUCCUCCACGCGGUAUUGCUCCGUCAGGCUUUCGCCCAUUGCGGAAAAUUCCUCACUGCUGCCUCCCGUAGGAGUCUGGACCGUGUCUCAGUUCCAGUGUGGCUGAUCAUCCUCUCAGACCAGCUACUGAUCGUCGCCUUGGGAGGCCAUUACSCUCACCAACUAGCUAAUCAGACGCAAGCCUCUCUUUUGGUGGUUUUCACCUUUCGCUCCUCAGCUCUAUGAGGUAUUAGCCGCAGUUUCCCGCGGUUGUCCCUCGCCAAAAGGUAAGUUCUUACGCGUUACGCACCCGUCCGCCACUGCCAUACGAUAGAGUAAACVSCAUCGUAUUUCGUUCGACUUGCAUGUGUUAAGCAUACCGCCAGCGUUCAUC